rnacentral:rRNA from 1 species
AUUGAACGCUGGCGGCAGGCCUAACACAUGCAAGUCGAGCGGAUGAAGGGAGCUUGCUCCUGGAUUCAGCGGCGGACGGGUGAGUAAUGCCUAGGAAUCUGCCUGGUAGUGGGGGAUAACGUCCGGAAACGGGCGCUAAUACCGCAUACGUCCUGAGGGAGAAAGUGGGGGAUCUUCGGACCUCACGCUAUCAGAUGAGCCUAGGUCGGAUUAGCUAGUUGGUGGGGUAAAGGCCUACCAAGGCGACGAUCCGUAACUGGUCUGAGAGGAUGAUCAGUCACACUGGAACUGAGACACGGUCCAGACUCCUACGGGAGGCAGCAGUGGGGAAUAUUGGACAAUGGGCGAGAGCCUCAUCCAGCCAUGCCGCGUGUGUGAAGAAGGUCUUCGGAUUGUAAAGCACUUUAAGUUGGGAGGAAGGGCAGUAAGUUAAUACCUUGCUGUUUUGACGUUACCAACAGAAUAAGCACCGGCUAACUUCGUG